GGAUUGAAAUUAGGGGGAGUGUCUGAAUUUACAGGAGGUUAUGCAGAAAACCAAGAAAUGAUUCUGACCAAAUCAGGGAAAGAAAAUAAAAGCCAUUGAAAUGAGUGAGAUUUCAAAGUAAAUGAGAUAAAGAAAAUGAAUAUGAGGAUGUGGAAAAUUCAAAGAAAGCUGACUGAGGAUUCAGAGACUGGAGAUAAUGCUGCCCGCUUCUUGUUUACAAUGUCACCUGAAAGUGAGAACAGGCAUUCACACGGUUGUAGCCGGCGUUGCAAGGCUCCUCUACUCUUUUCUGAGCACAGACAGAGAGACUUCCUGUGAAACCACAAGAUCUGCCUGGAUGCUAAUAAUGUUCCGUAACUUAUGGAACACAGAUGCACUUCUCCAAUUGGGAGAGAGAUCAUGAACCAUAAAGGAGGAAACAAAAGUAAAAAUAAACAAUCUAUUUUUACUAUUCAAACGGAAAAGUGCAAGAAGUAAACUAUGAAUUGAGGAAAAGGAUUUUUUUACAAUUUCUAGUUUUAAUAAUCUAAAAUGUUUCAGCAAAA